AGCAGCCGCGGUAAUUCCAGCUCCAAUAGCGUAUAUUAAAAGUUGCUGCAGUUAAAAAGCUCGUAGUUGAAUUUCGGGAUCAAUAUGUUGGUCGUGCCUUGGUACGUACUAGUUCAUUGGUUUCUCCCUUCUGACGAACCAUGAUGUCAUUAAUUUGAUGUCAUGGGGAAUCAGGACUGUUACUUUGAAAAAUUAGAGUGUUUAAAGCAGGCUCGCGCUUGAAUACAUUAGCAUGGAAUAAUGAAAUAGGACAUUUGAUUCUAUUUUUGUGGUUUCUAGGAUCGAUGUAAUGAUUAAUAGGGAUAGUUGGGGCAUUAGUAUUCAAUUGUCAGAGGUGAAAUUCUUGGGAUUUAUUGAAGACUUAACUACUGCGAAAGCA
rnacentral:rRNA from 1 species